AUGUCUAACACUGCCUUCCCUGACCCCGCCUGGAACACCACCCUGCUAUCUUGGGUUGCUCUCUUUCUCCUGGGAACAAGUUCAGCAAAUUCUGGGGUUGUCCAGUCUCCAAGAUACAUAAUCAAAGGAAAGGGAGAAAGGUCCAUUCUAAAAUGUAUUCCCAUCUCUGGACAUCUCUCUGUGGCCUGGUAUCAACAGACUCAGGGGCAGGAACUAAAGUUCUUCAUUCAGCAUUAUGAUAAAAUGGAGAGAGAUAAAGGAAACCUGCCCAGCAGAUUCUCAGUCCAACAGUUUGAUGACUAUCACUCUGAGAUGAACAUGAGUGCCUUGGAGCUAGAGGACUCUGCCGUGUACUUCUGUGCCAGCUCUCUC